rnacentral:lncRNA from 1 species
AACCUCUUCAUCCUUUUUCGUACGAGAUACGAAUUACUCAGUAGAGGAAGGGGAUUCAGAGAAGAGAAAAAAAUCUUGGAGUGAGGAAAGACAAAUUCAUUCACAGUGAUUUGAAUGGAUCUUUUGCACGGAGCAUUGAGAUGCAUAGAUCCACAUCGAUCCAUCCUUCCCAUUUCCUAGUAAAUCACAUUUUCCCAUUCGGAUAUCCAAUCUACACUCCUUCAGAUGUCCCCUCUUUAGAACUCACUUCGUAAAUUUCAUCUCCUCUAAUGGAAGGAUCGUUCACAGUGCAUAUGCUCCUUCACUUGAAGAAAAGGAGGUGUUAAGGGAGUCAUAUCCGUGCCUCUGACUCACUCCGUCUCCGGAAGAAAUAGAAUUUGUAAUCUUAGGCAAGGGAUAGUUUCAAGUCUCCAGCGGUGCUCCGCUUCAACUCAUCAUGUUAUUCGUUUGGGAAAUAUCAACUGCUCUAUGCUCCUGGACUCGUGAUUCCUACGUGGCUAAGAAAACUCUUUGGUUUAAUCAGAUUAUGGUUAGUAAUUUAAUUUAUUAUUCUACCCAACGACUCCAUGCCAUGUAUUUAUGAGAAACGUUCCUUUGCAAUGAGGAAUUCACUUUUUAAUCUCCUUGCCUCAGUUUUCUUGUUUCUUCGGAAAGAGUUUUGUGAGGCUCUUAUCCUCGUUUAGAUGGUAAAGUCAAAGAAGUUCAACCGUCGGAAUCUAUAUCUUUACCGACCAAGGACUCAAUUACGAAUAAAAUGGAAGAUCUGAUAUUGUUUUGGAUCAAGAUCUUUCAAGAGAAUAUGAAUAUAUUUCAUUCAUGAAUUACUCUUAGAUACGUAGUGACGAAGUAUCAACUUAAAUAGUGUUCGUUGUAUGACAGUAACUUUGAAGAAGUUUAAAGAAAGUUACCAAACAUUUCUUCCUACGAUAGUCAAGAUAGUUUUAUUUAGGAAUAAUUCCUUUAUGGCUAAAUAAAGGGAACGGCAACAGACACCAAUAUCUAUCAAGAAUUUCUCUUCAUACAAUUGACUGAUAACAUAUUUAUCAGAUACCUCUAAUCUCUUGUUCAAUGGAAGCAACUAUCGAUGUUUAAAUCAUUUAUUUUAAAUUUCUAAACAAUUUUGGAUUUCUUACUCUUGACUCAUACUUCUUAUCAGUUAUACGAUUAUAUUUUUAUUCAUAGAAUGAUAGUAUUUAAUACAUAUAUGCCUAUAUCCA